GCCUGACUGCUAUCGGAUUGAUACUAAGCCAUGCGAGUCAUUGUAGCAAUACAAGGCAGCCGGCUCAGUAACGCGUAGUCAACCUACCCUAUGGACGGGAAUAACCUCGGGAAACUGAGUAUAAUGCCCGAUAGAACACUAUACCUGGAAUGGUUUGUGUUCCAAAUGAUUUAUCGCCGUAGGAUGGGACUGCGGCCUAUCAGUUUGUUGGUGAGGUAAUGGCCCACCUAGACUAUUACAGGUACGGGCUCUGAGAGGAGUGGCCCGGAGAUGGGUACUGAGACACGGACCCAGGCCCUAUGGGGCGCAGCAGGCGAGAAAACUUUGCAAUGUGCGAAAGCACGACAAGGUUAAUCCGAGUGGUUUCUGCUAAAGGAACCUUUUGUUAGUCCUAGAAACACUAACGAAUAAGGGGUGGGCAAGUUCUGGUGUCAGCCGCCGCGGUAAAACCAGCACCUCAAGUGGUCAGGAUGAUUAUUGGGCCUAAAGCAUCCGUAGCCGGCUCUGUAAGUUUUCGGUUAAAUCUGUACGCUUAACGUACAGGCUGCCGGGAAUACUGCAGAGCUAGGGAGUGGGAGAGGUAGACGGUACUCGGGAGGAAGUGGUAAAAUGCUUUGAUCUCUCGAUGACCACCUGUGGCGAAGGCGGUCUACCAGAACACGUCCGACGGUGAGGGAUGAAAGCUGGGGGAGCAAACCGGAUUAGAUACCCGGGUAGUCCCAGCUGUAAACUAUGCAAACUCAGUGAUGCAUUGGCUUGUGGCCAAUGCAGUGUUGCAGGGAAGCCGUUAAGUUUGCCGCCUGGGAAGUACGUACGCAAGUAUGAA
rnacentral:rRNA from 1 species